GACGAACGCUGGCGGCGUGCCUAAUACAUGCAAGUUGAGCGCUGAAGGUUGGUACUUGUACCGACUGGAUGAGCAGCGAACGGGUGAGUAACGCGUGGGGAAUCUGCCUUUGAGCGGGGGACAACAUUUGGAAACGAAUGCUAAUACCGCAUAAAAACUUUAAACACAAGUUUUAAGUUUGAAAGAUGCAAUUGCAUCACUCAAAGAUGAUCCCGCGUUGUAUUAGCUAGUUGGUGAGGUAAAGGCUCACCAAGGCGAUGAUACAUAGCCGACCUGAGAGGGUGAUCGGCCACAUUGGGACUGAGACACGGCCCAAACUCCUACGGGAGGCAGCAGUAGGGAAUCUUCGGCAAUGGACGAAAGUCUGACCGAGCAACGCCGCGUGAGUGAAGAAGGUUUUCGGAUCGUAAAACUCUGUUGGUAGAGAAGAACGUUGGUGAGAGUGGAAAGCUCAUCAAGUGACGGUAACUACCCAGAAAGGGACGGCUAACUACGUGCCAGCAGCCGCGGUAAUACGUAGGUCCCGAGCGUUGUCCGGAUUUAUUGGGCGUAAAGCGAGCGCAGGUGGUUUAUUAAGUCUGGUGUAAAAGGCAGUGGCUCAACCAUUGUAUGCAUUGGAAACUGGUAGACUUGAGUGCANGAGAGGAGAGUGGAAUUCCAUGUGUAGCGGUGAAAUGCGUAGAUAUAUGGAGGAACACCGGUGGCGAAAGCGGCUCUCUGGGCUGUAACUGACACUGAGGCUCGAAAGCGGGGGGAGCAAACAGGAUUAAAUACCCUGGUAGUCCACGCCGUAAACGAUGAGUGCUAGAUGUAGGGAGCUAUAAGUUCUCUGUAUCGCAGCUAACGCAAUAAGCACUCCGCCUGGGGAGUACGACCGCAAGGUUGAAACUCAAAGGAAUUGACGGGGGGCCCGCACAAGCGGUGGAGCAUGUGGUUUAAUUCGAAGCAACGCGAAGAACCUUACCAGGUCUUGACAUACUCGUGCUAUUCCUAGAGAUAGGAAGUUCCUUCGGGACACGGGAUACAGGUGGUGCAUGGUUGUCGUCAGCUCGUGUCGUGAGAUGUUGGGUUAAGUCCCGCAACGAGCGCAACCCCUAUUGUUAGUUGCCAUCAUUAAGUUGGGCACUCUAACGAGACUGCCGGUGAUAAACCGGAGGAAGGUGGGGAUGACGUCAAAUCAUCAUGCCCCUUAUGACCUGGGCUACACACGUGCUACAAUGGAUGGUACAACGAGUCGCGAGACAGUGAUGUUUAGCUAAUCUCUUAAAACCAUUCUCAGUUCGGAUUGUAGGCUGCAACUCGCCUACAUGAAGUCGGAAUCGCUAGUAAUCGCGGAUCAGCACGCCGCGGUGAAUACGUUCCCGGGCCU
rnacentral:rRNA from 1 species